AGAGUUUGAUCCUGGCUCAGAAUCAACGCUGGCGGCGUGCCUAACACAUGCAAGUCGAACGCGGUUAUUCAGCUAUGGGUAACCGAGUGGCGAACGGGUGAGUAACACGUGGGUGACCUACCUUCGAGUGGGGGAUAACGUCCCGAAAGGGACGCUAAUACCGCAUAACAUCCUGCCUUUGAACAGGCGGUGAUCAAAGCCGGGGACCGUAAGGCCCGGCGCUUGAUGAGGGGCUCGCGUCUGAUUAGCUAGUUGGUGAGGUAACGGCCCACCAAGGCGACGAUCAGUAUCCGGCCUGAGUGGGCGGACGGACACACUGGGACUGAGACACGGCCCAGACUCCUACGGGAGGCAGCAGUGGGGAAUUGUUCACAAUGGGCGCAAGCCUGAUGACGCAACGCCGCGUGGAGGAUGAAGGUCUUCGGAUUGUAAACUCCUGUUGCUCGGGACGAAAAGCCUUGACCUAAUACGUCGAGGUCUGACGGUACCGAGUGAGGAAGCCCCGGCUAACUCUGUGCCAGCCGCCGCGGUAAUAC
rnacentral:rRNA from 1 species